UACGGAGGAUGCAAGCGUUAUCCGGAAUCACUGGGCGUAAAGGGUGCGUAGGCGGGUCUUUAAGUCAGGGGUGAAAUCCUGGAGCUCAACUCCAGAACUGCCUUUGAUACUGAGGAUCUUGAGUAUGGGAGAGGUGAGUGGAACUGCGAGUGUAGAGGUGAAAUUCGUAGAUAUUCGCAAGAACACCAGUGGCGAAGGCGGCUCACUGGCCCAUAACUGACGCUGAGGCACGAAAGCGUGGGGAGCAAACAGG
rnacentral:rRNA from 1 species